GACGAACGCUGGCGGCGUGCUUAACACAUGCAAGUCGAACGGAAAGGCCCUGAUCUUGCGGGGUGCUCGAGUGGCGAACGGGUGAGUAAAACGCGAGUAACCUGCCCUUGACUUUGGGAUAACUUCAGGAAACUGGGGCUCAUACCGCAUAUGAGCUCCUGCUGCACGUUGGGGGUUGGAAAGUGUCGGCUGUUGGGGCUGGUUUCGCGGCAUAUGAGCUUGUUAGUGGAGUAGUGAAUUACAAAGGGUAAGACGGCUAGCCGGCCUGAGAGGUGGACCGGGCACAAUGCUACUGAGAGACGGAGCAGACGCCUACGGUAGGCAGCAGUGGAGAAUAUGGCACAAUGGGGGCAAGCCUGAGGUAGCAACGCCCCGAGCGGGAUGACGGCUUUCGAGGGGUAAACCGCUGUGGCCGGUGACGAAGAGAGAGUGACGGUAAUGGGUAAAGAAGCACCGGCUAACUACGUG
rnacentral:rRNA from 1 species